UAUAUGUAUGUGUGUGUGUAUAUAUAUAUGUGUAUAUAAUAAAAAAAAAAUUGUUCAUAAGAUCAAUUUUUUUUUCUUACAAGUAAUGGGGGAAUGUAACGAUGAGUGAUACUCAUCGUCACUUUAUAAUAUGCAUUUCAAAAUAUUUAUUAGGAAAAGCAACUCCCAAUAAGUAUACAACCAAAUAUACUUCAGCGUGUAGUAGGUAUUGCCUAGAUUUUUACUAUUUGGAUGAUGUUUGUAACUUUUGGGGAAAUUCAAGUUUUAUAAGUUGGUUCGCCUGGCGAUGCCGGCAUCCGGCUGGCGUGUUGGUCAUUUCGGCAACCGCAGCGGUCCGGCACUUAGUUUUCGGCUUUUGAUAAGGCAACAGUUCAAUCUCCGCCGGUGGCCAUUGCAUAAGAAAUAGAAAUUUGGUUGACAUAUUAAUUUAUAAGAAGAGUAAUUUACGUUGGAGGAAGUUUUGUUUUGGUUUUGUAGUGUGGAGUGUUUUAAGAGAAGAGUUUUUAUUUUUCAACUCCGUUUUUGGAAAGCAAUGGCCACUGGUGGAGAAGGAGAAGUAGAAGAUUAAGUCAAGUCACAGCUUUUGUUUUUUUGGAAAUGGAAUAAAAUAAUUUUGGGAAAUUUUGGGCGAUUUUGUUACUUUUAUGGAAUAUAUGUUGAUUUGCCAGUCAUAGAAGCGUACCUCCUUGUGGAUGACAGUACCCCCCCAGGUUUGGGGAAGAUUGGAGGAUAACUUGGAUCUCCAACCAUUCAUCUAGCAGGAUUUUGGAGAAGAAACCAGCUCUCACUUGUAGAAGCAACAGGUUUUAUAGUAAAAUUUACGUUUUCAAUUUUUGUUCAAUAAUAUCUUUCAACUUUAAUAGUUUUAAUAACUUUGAAAUAAAUAACCUUAAUAAUAAUAUAAACUCACUUUGCUAAAAUUUAAUAACUGUCUAAUAUUUAAUAUUUUUCAACAAAUUUUACCUUUCACCGCUCACAUCAUUCAUUUAAAAUAAUCUGAAGGUUAUAAAUCAUCGUGUAAAGGUGUUGUAUACAAUAUCUAGGUGUUUAUUCCCUUAUUUCAUAACCUUUAUUUCAGUUAUUAGAUAUUGUACUCAGGUUUAUCACUUUAGGUCAGAUACGGAAUUGUCAGCCAAUAUUGUGAUCAAUAUCAAUAUAAUAUUUUUGUUUAGGUAAAUAACUUGUAAUUUCAAAUAACUGUCUUGGUAUAAUUAAUUAAAUUUUUGUGUUUUA